rnacentral:lncRNA from 1 species
GUGGAACCGGUUUACAUCUAUAAUCUGUUUCAAUUUUUUAAAAAAGGUUUUUCAUUAAUCUGUAGCUGUACCCAUGUUUUCUCCCAAGUUUAUAGAUCCUCUGCAACUCUGCUGUGCGGAAGGUUUCAUUGCUACAGCGUGUGAGGCAUUGACGGAAAUAAGAUUGAAAGGCAGAUUUCUUAUAUGUCCAUGGGUCGAAAGACCAUCUAGGGAUGAUUGUUGGGGUGGUUGUAGGUUUUACGUAAACUGUGGUGCUAAAGGCACCUUCCAAAAGAUAAAUUUUGAUAUCCAGGAAAUUGAUUUCAGUGGGACUGGCUUGUGCUAGUUUUAGAUUGAGCCCGUAUUCUUUCUUAGAGAGUUGCCCUAUUAAAUUGCCUAUCUGAUGGUUGCUCCACG